rnacentral:tRNA from 2 species
GGGCUCGUGGUUUAGUGGUAUAAUACUCCCUUAGCAGCAUCAACUGGGAGUGGUCCGGGGUUCGAUUCCCCGCGAGUCCA